CCUACGGGAGGCAGCAGUGGGGAAUAUUGCACAAUGGGCGAAAGCCUGAUGCAGCGACGCCGCGUGAGGGAUGACGGCCUUCGGGUUGUAAACCUCUUUCAGCAGGGAAGAAGCGAAAGUGACGGUACCUGCAGAAGAAGCGCCGGCUAACUACGUGCCAGCAGCCGCGGUAAUACGUAGGGCGCAAGCGUUGUCCGGAAUUAUUGGGCGUAAAGAGUUCGUAGGCGGCUUGUUGCGUCGGUUGUGAAAGCCCGGGGCUUAACCCCGGGUCUGCAGUCGAUACGGGCAGGCUAGAGUGUGGUAGGGGAGAUCGGAAUUCCUGGUGUAGCGGUGAAAUGCGCAGAUAUCAGGAGGAACACCGGUGGCGAAGGCGGAUCUCUGGGCCAUUACUGACGCUGAGGAGCGAAAGCGUGGGGAGCGAACAGGAUUAGAUACCCUGGUAGUCCACGCCGUAAACGUUGGGAACUAGGUGUUGGCGACAUUCCACGUCGUCGGUGCCGCAGCUAACGCAUUAAGUUCCCCGCCUGGGGAGUCGGCCGCAAGGCUAAAACUCAAAGGAAUUGACGGCNGAGAGNGCGAGACGACACGAGGAGAG
rnacentral:rRNA from 1 species